rnacentral:rRNA from 1 species
AUUGAACGCUGGCGGCAGGCCUAACACAUGCAAGUCGAGCGAGCGGCGGACGGGUGAGUAAUGUCUGGGAAACUGCCUGAUGGAGGGGGAUAACUACUGGAAACGGUAGCUAAUACCGCAUACCAUCAGAUUUGCCCAGAUGGGAUUAGCUAGUAGGUGGGGUAACGGCUCACCUAGGCGACGAUCCCUAGCUGGUCUGAGAGGAUGACCAGCCAAACUGGAUCUGGGACACGGACCAGACUCUUACGUGGGGGAGAAGUGGGGAAUAUUGAAGGAUGGGCGCAAGGCGGAUGCAGCCAUGCCGCGGGUGUGAAGAAGGCCUUCGGGUUGUAAAGCACUUUCAGCGGGGAGGCGUUACCCGCAGAAGAAGCACCGGCUAACUCCGUGCCAGCAGCCGCGGUAAUAC